rnacentral:lncRNA from 1 species
ACCAGGGGACACCUGGGAACACCUGAGGAUACCUGGGGACACCAGGGGACACCUGGGAACACCUGGGGACACCUGGGAACACCUGGGGAUACCUGGGGACUACCAGGGGAUACCUGGGAACACCUGGGGACACCUGGGAACACCUGGGGAUACCUGGGGACUACCAGGGGACACAUGGGGAUACCUGGGAACACCUGGGGACUACCAGGGGACUACCAGGGGACUACCAGGGGACACCUGGGGACACCUGGGAACACCUGGGAAUACCUGGGGAUACCUGGGAACACCUGGGAAUACCUGGGAAUAGCUGGGGACACCUGGGAAUACCUGGGAACACCUGGGAACAUCUGGGAACACCUGGGGACACCUGGGGAUACCUGGGAACACCUGGGGAUACCAGGGGACACCUGGGGACACCUGGGGAUACCUGGGGACACCUGGGGACACCUGGGGAUAUCUGGGAAUACCUGGGGACACCUGGGAACACCUGGGGUCACCUGGGGACAGCUGGGGACACCUGGGGACAGCUGGGGACUGCUGGGGACUCCUGGGAACACCUGUGGGACCCCCUGGGGGACACCUUUGGGACCCUCAGUGACCCCUGCUGUCCCCCACUGACCCCCUGUGUCCCCCGCUGUCCCCAGGUGCCCCCAGCACGGCCGAGCUGCGCAUCUGCCGCGUCAAUCGCAACUCCGGGAGCUGCCGGGGCGGGGACGAGAUCUUCCUGCUGUGUGACAAGGUCCAGAAAGGUGCGGGGACACCCCAAACCGGGACACCCCAAACCCUGGGGACACCCCAAACUGGGGACACUCCAAACCCCACACCCUGGGGCACCCCAAACCCGGGGGACACCCCAAACCCGGGGGACACCCCUGGGGGGACACCCCAAACCGCAAUCCCCGGGGACACCCCAAACCCCGGGGACACCCCAAACCCCAAACUGGGGACACCCCAAACCCUGGGGACACCCCAAACCCCAAACUGGGGACACCCCAAACCCCAAACUGGGGACACCCCAAACCAGGGACACCCCAAACCCUGGGGACACCCCAAACCCCAAACUGGG